AGAGUUUGAUCAGUGGCUCAGGACGAACGCUGGCGGCGUGCUUAACACAUGCAAGUCGCACGGUGAAGGAAGAGCUUGCUCUUCCGGAUCAGUGGCGAACGGGUGAGUAACACGUGGGCAACCUGCCCCUGACUCUGGGAUAACUCCUCGAAAGAGGUGCUAAUACCGGAUACGACCACUUCGGACAUCCGAUGGUGGUGGAAAGUUUUUCGGUCAGGGAUGGGCCCGCGGCCUAUCAGCUAGUUGGUGGGGUAAUGGCCUACCAAGGCGACGACGGGUAGCCGGCCUGAGAGGGCGACCGGCCACACUGGGACUGAGACACGGCCCAGACUCCUACGGGAGGCAGCAGCGGGGAAUAUUGCGCAAUGGGCGAAAGCCUGACGCAGCGACGCCGCGUGAGGGAUGAAGGCCUUCGGGUUGUAAACCUCUUUCAGCAGGGACGAAGCGAAAGUGACGGUACCUGCAGAAGAAGCACCGGCUAACUACGUG
rnacentral:rRNA from 1 species